rnacentral:rRNA from 1 species
GGCCUGCGGCUGCCUUACACAUGCAGUCGAACGGCAGCACGGGUGCUUGCACCUGGUGGCGAGUGGCGAACGGGUGAGUAAUACAUCGGAACAUGUCCUGUAGUGGGGGAUAGCCCGGCGAAAGCCGGAUUAAUACCGCAUACGAUCUUUGGAUGAAAGCGGGGGACCUUCGGGCCUCGCGCUAUAGGGUUGGCCGAUGGCUGAUUAGCUAGUUGGUGGGGUAAAGGCCUACCAAGGCGACGAUCAGUAGCUGGUCUGAGAGGACGACCAGCCACACUGGGACUGAGACACGGCCCAAACUCCUACGGGAGGCAGCAGUGGGGAAUUUUGGACAAUGGGCGAAAGCCUGAUCCAGCAAUGCCGCGUGUGUGAAGAAGGCCUUCGGGUUGUAAAGCACUUUUGUCCGGAAAGAAAUCCUUGGUUCUAAUAUAGCCGGGGGAUGACGGUACCGGAAGAAUAAGCACCGGCUAACUACGUGCCAGCAGCCGCGGUAAUACGUAGGGUGCGAGCGUUAAUCGGAAUUACUGGGCGUAAAGCGUGCGCAGGCGGUUUGCUAAGACCGAUGUGAAAUCCCCGGGCUCAACCUGGGAACUGCAUUGGUGACUGGCAGGCUAGAGUAUGGCAGAGGGGGGUAGAAUUCCACGUGUAGCAGUGAAAUGCGUAGAGAUGUGGAGGAAUACCGAUGGCGAAGGCAGCCCCCUGGGCCAAUACUGACGCUCAUGCACGAAAGCGUGGGGAGCAAACAGGAUUAGAUACCCUGGUAGUCCACGCCCUAAACGAUGUCAACUAGUUGUUGGGGAUUCAUUUCCUUAGUAACGUAGCUAACGCGUGAAGUUGACCGCCUGGGGAGUACGGUCGCAAGAUUAAAACUCAAAGGAAUUGACGGGGACCCGCACAAGCGGUGGAUGAUGUGGAUUAAUUCGAUGCAACGCGAAAAACCUUACCUACCCUUGACAUGGUCGGAAUCCUGCUGAGAGGCGGGAGUGCUCGAAAGAGACCGAUACACAGUGCUGCAUGGCUGUCGUCAGCUCUGUCGUGAGAUGUUGGGUUAAGUCCGCAACGAGCGCACCCUUGUCAUAGUUGCUACGCAUGAGCACUCUAAGAGACUGCCGGUGACAAACCCGAGAAGGU